GAUGAACGCUGGCGGCGUGCUUAACACAUGCAAGUCGAACGGUGAACACGGAGCUUGCUCUGUGGGAUCAGUGGCGAACGGGUGAGUAACACGUGAGCAACCUGCCCCUGACUCUGGGAUAAGCGCUGGAAGCGGCGUCUAAUACUGGAUAUGUGACGUGACCGCAUGGUCUGCGUUUGGAAAGAUUUUUCGGUUGGGGAUGGGCUCGCGGCCUAUCAGCUUGUUGGUGAGGUAAUGGCUCACCAAGGCGUCGACGGGUAGCCGGCCUGAGAGGGUGACCGGCCACACUGGGAUUGAGACACGGCCCAGACUCCUACGGGAGGCAGCAGUGGGGAAUAUUGCACAAUGGGCGAAAGCCUGAUGCAGCAACGCCGCGUGAGGGAUGACGGCCUUCGGGUUGUAAACCUUUUUUAGCAGGGAAGAAGCGAAAGUGACGGUACCUGCAGAAAAAGCGCCGGCUAACUACGUG
rnacentral:rRNA from 1 species